ensembl:snoRNA
UGAUGCACAUUCUCUGGAAUCGCUGUACCGCUUUGAUGAGCCUUUGAACCCAUAUCAGCUGAUGGCUGUCGCUUUCUGUAGC